rnacentral:lncRNA from 1 species
UCGGACUUCUCUUGAACUGAAUUUUAAUGUGCGUAUUGUUAUGCUUUUACUUUUCUACAUUGGUUAGAGGUAUAGGGGGAGGGUUGAGAUCUCACAAACAUGUUUAACCCCGCCGCAUUUUUGCGCCUGUCCCAAGUCAGGAGCCUCUGGCCUUUGUUAGUCUUGUAUUAUUUUAAUUUUAGUUUCUUGUGUACAAUUUGGAAAUUAGUAUGGCGUUCAUUAUCACUAGACUAGUAUAUAUUUGUUUAGGGGCCAGCUGAAGGACGCCUCCGGGUGCGGGAAUUUCUCGCUACAUUGAAGACCUGUUGGUGAC